rnacentral:rRNA from 3 species
GGGUUGUGAGGUUAAGCGACUAAGCGUACACGGUGGAUGCCCUGGCAGUCAGAGGCGAUGAAGGACGUGCUAAUCUGCGAAAAGCGUCGGUAAGGUGAUAUGAACCGUUAUAACCGGCGAUGUCCGAAUGGGGAAACCCAGUGCAAUUCGUUGCACUAUCGUUAACUGAAUACAUAGGUUAACGAGGCGAACCGGGGGAACUGAAACAUCUAAGUACCCCGAGGAAAAGAAAUCAACCGAGAUUCCCCCAGUAGCGGCGAGCGAACGGGGAGCAGCCCAGAGUCUGAAUCAGCUUGUGUGUUAGUGGAACGGUCUGGAAAGUCCGACGGUACAGGGUGAUAGUCCCGUACACCAAAAUGCACAGGUUGUGAACUCGAAGAGUAGGGCGGGACACGUGGUAUCCUGUCUGAAUAUGGGGGGACCAUCCUCCAAGGCUAAAUACUCCUGACUGACCGAUAGUGAACCAGUACCGUGAGGGAAAGGCGAAAAGAACCCCGGCGAGGGGAGUGAAAAAGAACCUGAAACCGUGUACGUACAAGCAGUGGGAGCACCUUCGGGUGUGACUGCGUACCUUUUGUAUAAUGGGUCAGCGACUUAUAUUCUGUAGCAAGGUUAACCGUAUAGGGGAGCCGCAGGGAAACCGAGUCUUAACUGGGCGUUAAGUUGCAGGGUAUAGACCCGAAACCCGGUGAUCUAGCCAUGGGCAGGUUGAAGGUUGGGUAACACUAACUGGAGGACCGAACCGACUAAUGUUGAAAAAUUAGCGGAUGACUUGUGGCUGGGGGUGAAAGGCCAAUCAAACCGGGAGAUAGCUGGUUCUCCCCGAAAGCUAUUUAGGUAGCGCCUCGUGAACUCAUCUUCGGGGGUAGAGCACUGUUUCGGCUAGGGGGUCAUCCCGACUUACCAACCCGAUGCAAACUACGAAUACCGAAGAAUGUUAUCACGGGAGACACACGGCGGGUGCUAACGUCCGUCGUGAAGAGGGAAACAACCCAGACCGCCAGCUAAGGUCCCAAAGUCAUGGUUAAGUGGGAAACGAUGUGGGAAGGCACAGACAGCCAGGAUGUUGGCUUAGAAGCAGCCAUCAUUUAAAGAAAGCGUAAUAGCUCACUGGUCGAGUCGGCCUGCGCGGAAGAUGUAACGGGGCUAAACCAUGCACCGAAGCUGCGGCAGCGACACUAUGUGUUGUUGGGUAGGGGAGCGUUCUGUAAGUCUGCGAAGGUGACCUGUGAGGGUUGCUGGAGGUAUCAGAAGUGCGAAUGCUGACAUAAGUAACGAUAAAGCGGGUGAAAAGCCCGCUCGCCGGAAGACCAAGGGUUCCUGUCCAACGUUAAUCGGGGCAGGGUGAGUCGACCCCUAAGGCGAGGCCGAAAGGCGUAGUCGAUGGGAAACAGGUUAAUAUUCCUGUACUUGGUGUUACUGCGAAGGGGGGACGGAGAAGGCUAUGUUAGCCGGGCGACGGUUGUCCCGGUUUAAGCAUGUAGGCUGAUUAUCCAGGCAAAUCCGGAUAAUCAAGGCUGAGGUGUGAUGACGAGGCACUACGGUGCUGAAGUAACAAAUGCCCUGCUUCCAGGAAAAGCCUCUAAGCAUCAGGUAACAUUAAAUCGUACCCCAAACCGACACAGGUGGUCAGGUAGAGAAUACCAAGGCGCUUGAGAGAACUCGGGUGAAGGAACUAGGCAAAAUGGUGCCGUAACUUCGGGAGAAGGCACGCUGGUGUGUAGGUGAAGUCCCUGCGGAUGGAGCUGAGACCAGUCGAAGAUACCAGCUGGCUGCAACUGUUUAUUAAAAACACAGCACUGUGCAAACACGAAAGUGGACGUAUACGGUGUGACGCCUGCCCGGUGCCGGAAGGUUAAUUGAUGGGGUUAUCCGUAAGGAGAAGCUCUUGAUCGAAGCCCCGGUAAACGGCGGCCGUAACUAUAACGGUCCUAAGGUAGCGAAAUUCCUUGUCGGGUAAGUUCCGACCUGCACGAAUGGCGUAAUGAUGGCCAGGCUGUCUCCACCCGAGACUCAGUGAAAUUGAACUCGCUGUGAAGAUGCAGUGUACCCGCGGCAAGACGGAAAGACCCCGUGAACCUUUACUAUAGCUUGACACUGAACAUUGAGCCUUGAUGUGUAGGAUAGGUGGGAGGCUUUGAAGCGUGGACGCCAGUCUGCGUGGAGCCAACCUUGAAAUACCACCCUUUAAUGUUUGAUGUUCUAACGUUGGCCCCUGACCGGGGUUGCGGACAGUGUCUGGUGGGUAGUUUGACUGGGGCGGUCUCCUCCCAAAGCGUAACGGAGGAGCACGAAGGUUAGCUAAUCCUGGUCGGACAUCAGGAGGUUAGUGCAAUGGCAUAAGCUAGCUUGACUGCGAGCGUGACGGCGCGAGCAGGUGCGAAAGCAGGUCAUAGUGAUCCGGUGGUUCUGAAUGGAAGGGCCAUCGCUCAACGGAUAAAAGGUACUCCGGGGAUAACAGGCUGAUACCGCCCAAGAGUUCAUAUCGACGGCGGUGUUUGGCACCUCGAUGUCGGCUCAUCACAUCCUGGGGCUGAAGUAGGUCCCAAGGGUAUGGCUGUUCGCCAUUUAAAGUGGUACGCGAGCUGGGUUUAGAACGUCGUGAGACAGUUCGGUCCCUAUCUGCCGUGGGCGCUGGAGAAUUGAGGGGGGCUGCUCCUAGUACGAGAGGACCGGAGUGGACGCAUCACUGGUGUUCGGGUUGUCAUGCCAAUGGCACUGCCCGGUAGCUAAAUGCGGAAGAGAUAAGUGCUGAAAGCAUCUAAGCACGAAACUUGCCCCGAGAUGAGUUCUCCCUGAGACUUUAAGUCUCCUGAAGGAACGUUAAAGACGAUGACGUUGAUAGGCCGGGUGUGUAAGCGCAGCGAUGCGUUGAGCUAACCGGUACUAAUGAACCGUGAGGCUUAACCUUACAACGCCGAAG